UACGUAGGGCGCGAGCGUUGUCCGGAAUUACUGGGCGUAAAGCGUGCGCAGGCGGUUUUGUAAGUCAGAUGUGAAAUCCCCGGGCUUAACCUGGGAACUGCGUUUGAAACUACAAGGCUAGAGUGUGGCAGAGGGGGGUGGAAUUCCACGUGUAGCAGUGAAAUGCGUAGAGAUGUGGAGGAACACCGAUGGCGAAGGCAGCCUCCUGGGCCAGCACUGACGCUCAUGCACGAAAGCGUGGGGAGCAAACAGG
rnacentral:rRNA from 1 species